rnacentral:tRNA from 1 species
GCCCAGAUGGUUUAGUUGGUUAAACGUCUGACUUCAGUUCAGGUCAUGAUCUUGGGGUCCUGGGAUCAAGCCCCAGCUCGGGGA